rnacentral:rRNA from 1 species
AGCGAACGCUGGCGGCAGGCUUAACACAUGCAAGUCGAGCGGGCACUUUCGGGUGUCAGCGGCGGACGGGUGGGUAACGCGGGGGAACGUGCCCUCUGGUUCGGAAUCACUCAGGGAAACUUGAGCUAAUACCGGAUACGCCCUUUUGGGGAAAGGCUUUCUGCCGGAGGAUCGGCCCGCGUGUGAUUAGCUUGUUGGUGAGGUAACGGCUCACCAAGGCGACGAUCAGUAGCUGGUCUGAGAGGAUGAUCAGCCACACUGGGACUGAGACGCGGCCCAGACUCCUACGGGAGGGAGCAGUGGGGAAUAUUGGACAAUGGGCGCAAGCCUGAUCCAGCCAUGCCGCGUGAGUGAUGAAGGCCUUAGGGUUGUAAAGCUCUUUUAUCCGGGACGAUAAUGACGGUACCGGAGGAAUAAGCCCCGGCUAACUUCGUG